rnacentral:lncRNA from 1 species
UGCUUGCCAGCAAGUAUGAACUGUCUUCUCGGACCAUCUGUUGGGCAUGUUCAGGAAUUGCAAAUGAGACCCAUCCUGAAGUGCUGGAGAGAAGCAGGGAAUCUAACACCUGUCUUGACUGAAGCUAAUGGCUGUGUCCAGGAGUAGUAUGGGCACAGAACAUCCUAAAAUUGAUUAAAACCAGGACUGAAACAGGGAAUUUUUUUAGGUUUUGAGUGCUUAAACUGGGACAUUUCUGAAGGACGGGGACUCCUGGUUCUCCUGUGCUGUGUUUGCCUGGCCCUUGCAGGAGCGCCCGGGGGCACCUACAGUGACGUGAGUUAAUCUGGUCUCAACCCCUCAGCUGCUGCUGCCACAGCGCAAUGCUCAGUGCCUGAGAAAGGAGGAGAAUGUCAUGGGCUCGCAGUGGGAACCCCCGACGGAAACCCCUGAAGCUGUAUUCAACAGGUCCUUUAACAUGCACUUACCCACUGAAGGAAAUGGGUGAUUUAGAAGAUUCGGAGCGGGACACAGAACUGGCACCUUGUGGUUCCUGAAGAAAUCUGGUACAAGAUUUGUUGUGUGAAGGAGUGCUUCGGCUCCUCCCAGGCUAGGAGAAGGAAAGCAGGCUCCCUGCAGAGGGAAUCGACCCUGGGAAG